rnacentral:rRNA from 1 species
GCAAAACGCGAAGAACCUUACCAACCCUUGACAUGGAGGGGACCGUUCCAGAGAUGGUUCUUUCACUUCGGUGACCCCUCACACAGGUGCUGCAUGGCUGUCGUCAGCUCGUGCCGUGAGAUGUUCGGUUAAGUCCGGCAACGAGCGCAACCCACACUUUCAGUUGCCAGCAUUCAGUUGGGCACUCUGAAAGAACUGCCGGUGAUAAGCCGGAGGAAGGUGUGGAUGACGUCAAGUCCUCAUGGCCCUUACGGGUUGGGCUACACACGUGCUACAAUGGCAGUGACAAUGGGCUAAUCCCAAAAAGCUGUCUCAGUUCGGAUUGGGGUCUGCAACUCGACCCCAUGAAGUCGGAAUCGCUAGUAAUCGCGUAACAGCAUGACGCGGUGAAUACGUUCCCGGGUCUUGUACACACCG